CCCUUAGAUGUUCUGGGCCGCACGCGCGCUACACUGGUGCAGUCAACAAGCUCUCCUACGGAUCCUUGGUCGGAAGGCCCGGGGAAUCUUCGAAACUGCAUCGUGAUGGGGAUAGAUUCUUGUAAUUUUUAAUCUUCAACGAGGAAUUCCUAGUAAACGCGAGUCAACAACUCGCAUUGAUUACGUCCCCGCCCUUUGUACACACCGCCCGUCGCACCUACCGAUUGGAUGGUCCGGUGAGGCCUCCGGACUCGACCCGACGUCUCGUCAGAGGCCCGGGAUGGGGAAGUUGGUCAAAUCUUACCAUCUAGAGGAAGGUGAAGUCGUAACA
rnacentral:rRNA from 1 species